rnacentral:tRNA from 1 species
AAAAUCCGUCGACUUUAAAAAUCGUGAGGGGUCCAGGUCCCUCUAUCCCCA